GGGCACGGGGUUCCUCUCGGAGGGACGGGCGGAAAGUGCCCGUCAUCAAUGAUUCGGAGGCGGUGGUCGGCCGGUUCGGGGCUGGCGCUGCUCCC
rnacentral:tRNA from 1 species